ACAGGAUAAUACUGUUGCUAUGAGGGGCUUUGGUUUCUCUGCAAUCCAAUAGCUUGCGUUAAGAAAUAUGCCUCUCUUUCAGUGAACCUUCUCUAAAUACCACAGAAUAGGUGUCGUUGAGAUCCUGAGAGCAGCCUUCAUAUUGAGGGACUGGGGUUAGCUGCGGAGUGACACAGGCCUGGAGCCUUACACGCAACCUUGUUUGCACAGAGGCCAGAAAUGAGUAGAGUCAAGAGAAACUGGUGAACAAAACCUGACCUUCCUUCCAGCUGCUCCCUGCAAAAAUGCCCUGCACAAAUGCAAAAAAGCAGAGUGGAGUUCAGCUGGAAGAUGGCUUGAGAAUUUCAUGAUCAAAAUUUCCUCUUUCCGGGAACCGGCUAUUGAGUUGGAAGCCUCGGGCCGGAAGGCACUGCAGAAUCUUUGGGGACAAACAGAAAAUGGAGGACCUUGACUUGCCCAUAUUAAGUCAGUCAGCAGCAACUGGAGAUUUUAGUCCAGGGUUCCAGACCUACCAGAAAGGGCAAAUCUCUCUAUUUCCUAGCCUUGAAGGAUUUACCUGGCAAGUCAAGAAAGUCUCAUUUCCUGGAAUUGAACUCUUAGAACUCAGCUCUCGGGGUAAGUGUGGGUGUUAGUGAAGACGGCCAGCAGCCGUGGAGGAGGGCGGGGUGGUGAGAACGUUCUUCACCAGUGUGGGCAGAGACCAGCUCCACGACAGACAGUGCAAUCUCUUCCUGACGUUCCAGAUGCAGGCCAGGUAGGCAAAAAGGAAGUAGAAGACACCAUCAUACCUAGACUCCAGAAGGCUUUCAUUCCAUUUGGAUCAAUUUUAGAGGCCGCCCCACUCAAACGGGGCCCUUUCUGACAUCCUGCCUCCACCGCACUGCCUCGUGGGCAGAAGGGUCUCACCUCGGCUGUCUCGGGGUCCAGCCUUCAAUCCGGAUGCUCAGCAGGUGUUUCCAAAUUCCCAGCAGGACUGUCCGCUGUGCUCCAGGCGGAUUCCUCCCAUCCUCCCUCCCUUCUCCCCUCUCUCUUCCCCUUUUCCUCCUUUCUCCCCUCCUUUCUUCCUUCCGGCCAAUAUAUUUAUUGCUGGAUGCCCGGCACUGAGACUUUGUUCCUGAUCUGGGGUUAAGCUGAGCUCUUAGAUUUGAAGAUGCCAGAGACCAGUGUUGAAAGCACCUUGAGGGAGGAGAGCAUUUAUGGGGUGUGUUGAAGAAAGACGCUCGGCCGAUUGGAAAGACUGAAAUGGUUUGGACUUAACGAAGCCGACCGGCGUAGCAGAGGGGCUAAGGGCGAAGCACGGGGAGAGUCGGUGCGCCAAGUGCGGGAGGGCAAAGCUCAAGCAGCAACGCACAUCCAAUGUGAUGGUGGAGCACCUCCUCCCGUUCCUCCUGCCCUGUGCCAGCCACAAGGGGAGCCGAGAGAAAAGUGGAAAAGAUGCUCUGGGGAGGCACGCCGAGGCAGCUACCAUGCUGGAGCCGCUGACCCCGACACUCCGCAUGGGUUCCCCGGUGAUUUCCAGGCGGGGCAGCUGGGAAACAGGCACAGAGGGUUAGUGGUUUCCCAGGAAGGGAUACACUUCCUGCAAUGAAUCACCCUGUGUCAAGGAGGAUUUUUAUGACAUCAGCUUCCAAGCAGAUCACCGAGACUCCGCCACUCAAGAGGGCACUGGAGCUUAACACCACCAGAGCCCACACUUGAUGUUUUCUUUCUUGUAUUUUCCAAGGGGACAUUUGGACCAAAAGUGGCCUGUGCCCCUGGAAACUCUGAGUAGUGGCUUGGCAUCUUAGGAAUCCGUCUGUUGUGCUUUGUGGAAGAGUCUGGAAAGGUCUAGUUUUGUCUGGAAAACAAAACUCAUGGUUGUUACUGUGAAAGUGUAACCCCGCUUACUCCCUUCUAAUAAAUGCUGCAAUCUCGAAAUAACAUGAAUUAAAUAAAGUGAUCCCUUGGUAUCUAGAU